AGAGCAGAAGACAGUUUAGCAUACCAUUGUCUGGAUGCCUGUCUCAACCCAUAGAGAGAUUUUUUCAACUUGCAGACAAGAGGAGGAGAUGCAGGGGAAACAGAAUCAGGAGAAGAGACAGAAACUGUUAAACCUGGAGGGAGCUUCAUAUAGACCUCCUCAUCCAAAUCACCAUGCAAGAAAGCAUUGUUAACAUCAAGUUGAUAAAGAUUCCAAUGGUCCUUAACAACCACUGCAAUAAGACACUUGACAAUGGACAUUUUAACCAUGGAGAAAAAGUGUCAGUGAAAUCAACUCCUUCAAUUUGAGUAUCCCCUCUAAUAAGAAGUCUAGCUUUUUAUCUUUCAACACUACCAUCAGCCUUAUAUUUGAUCUUAUAAACCCAUUUGCAGCCUAUGGGUUUCUUACCAAGAGAAAGAGGAACAACAUCCCAGGAAUAGUUGGCAUCCAAAGCAUCAAACUCCUUUCUCAUGGCAUCCUGCCAUACUGGAACUGAUGCAGCUUGAGAGUAGUAAAGAGGUCCAGACUCAAGAGGGGAAGAAGAAGAUCCAGAGAAAGCAGGAAGAUGACAGACAUAAUCCUUACGAUAAGAAGGAGGAUUGUGUUGUCUUCCAGAUUUUCUAGGAACAUUAGGGGAUGUGGAAAAAGGCAAAGCAGGAGGAGAAAUAUCAGGGUUGAAAGGAGGACUGGAAACUGGAUUGAAAGAAGGGGAAACUGAGGCCGAAGGAGAAGGUGGAGAGGAACCGAUGGGAACUGAGAAGUCUGUGUCGGAAAGGGAAUGUUCAAGAGGAGGAACAAAAGGAAAAGAAGAGGGAGAAACAGAAGGAGUAGAGUUAACAGAAGAAACAGAUUUAAAAGGAAAAGAAGUUUCAUGAAAGAUAACAUCCAUGGACACAAAGCACUUUUUGGAACUCAGAUCAUACAGUCUAUAACCCUUUUUAGCAAAAAGGAUACCCCAGGAAGACACAUGAAAUGGCCCUAGGUUUCAACUUGUCACUUUGAGGAAUUGGGACAGCAGCAUAGGCAAGGCAGCCAAAUGCCCUCAAAUGGGAGUAAGUAGGUGCCUUUCCAUGCAAAAUUUCAUAAGGGGAUUUUCCUUGAAGGAGCCUGGAGGGUAUUCUGUUAAUAAGGUAUGUAGCAGUCAAUAGACAAUCUCCCCAUAAAGAGAUGGAUAAACCAGAUUGGAAGAGUAAGGCUCUACAGGUUUCAAGAAGAUACCUAUGUUUCCUUUCAACAACACCAUUCUAUUGAGGAGUACGGGGACAAGUUGUUUGAUGAAUAAUGCUUUGUUGGCUAAAGAAGGAUGCACCAGCAAUACUAGACCCCAAUUCCAAAGCAUUGUCACUGAUGAAUAAUGCCUUGUUGACUAAAGAAGGAUGCACCAGCAAUACUAGACCCCAAUUCCAAAGCAUUGUCACUCAUAAUAGUUUGAACAACAGCAUUAAACUGGGUUUUAACCAUACACAUAAAAGACUUAUGCAUGCAGAAAGCAUUGCUUUUAGACCCCAAUAAAUGUGUCCAGGUUGCUCUAGAAAAGUCAUCAACUAUUGUUAGAAAGUAUCUAGAGCCAGAAAAGGUGGGAGUGUGAUAGGUCCCCAAGUAUCUACAUGAAUCAGUUGGAAAGGUCUAGCUGUACUUGUUGUGCUAUCAGGAAAGGGAAGUCUAGUUUGCCUAGCCAUAGGACAAAUAGAACAAUGGAAAGGCUGUUUAGAAGCAAAUGGAAAAGACAAGGCAGAAAUGUGGUGUCCAGGUUGCUCUAGAAAAAUCAUCAACUAUUGUUAGAAAAUAUCUAGAGCCAGAAAAGGUGGGAGUGUGAUAAGGGCCCCAAGUAUCUACAUGAAUCAAUUGGAAAGGUCUAGAUGUACNUAGGAAGAGGAAGUUGGCACCCAAGCAAACUUGUACAGACCAGCCUCCUCUUUACCAAGAUCCAUAGGCAUCUUCAUAGAAGGGGCCUGUAACAUGUGGAGGAAACAUGAAGUUGCAGUGAACAAGACUAUGCAAUGCAACUGUUUUACUAGUUUGUGGACAGAAAUUAAGUUGUGUUUGAAAGAAGGAACAAGUAAGACAUCAUGAAGAAUGAUGAAUGGAUUUAAUGCAAAAGAUCCUGUGCAUGUCACUUUCACUUUAUAUCCAUUAGGAAGAGUUACAAGAUAGGGUACAGUUAAGGGUGUGAGAUUGAAGAGUAAAUCUUGAUUAAAGGUCAUAUGGUUAGAUGCCCCUGAGUCUAUUAUCCAGGUGGCAGAAUUAAUGUGAGUAAGCAUGCAAAUUUUGGAAUCAGAAACAUGGCUCUAAGUAAGCAUAGUACCAGCAAAAUUGGCAGCAUACAUGGGAGGAGGAGUCUGGGCAGUGGAGUCCCCUAACUGAGUUUGUUGAAGCAAGGUCAUCAAUUGGUCAUAUUGUUGUCUGCUCAACCCAGUAUCACAGAAAUCUGGCCAUCCAUGUUUGGAACAGGGUGAUGGCUUUCAGGAGGAUUUCCAUGAGGAACAGACA
rnacentral:lncRNA from 1 species